rnacentral:rRNA from 1 species
GUCUUUUUGAGAAUAAUUUAAAGUCUAAUCUGCCCACUGAAUUUAUUUAAAGGGCUGCAGUAUAUUGACUGUACAAAGGUAGCAUAAUAAAUAGUCUUUUAAUUGAAGACUGGUAUGAAUGAUUUGAUGAGAUAUAAACUGUCUCUUUUUUAAAAAUAGAAUUUAAUUUUUUAGUCAAAAAGCUAAAAUAAUCAUAAAAGACGAGAAGACCCUAUAGAGUUUAAUAAUAAUUUUUAUUUUAAUUUUAUAUAAAAUUUUAAAUUGAGAUAGAUAUUAUUAUUUUGUUGGGGUGAUAGAAAAAUUUAUGAAACUUUUUUUAAAAAAUUAACAUUAAUAUAUGAAUUUUUGAUCCAUAAUUUAUGAUUAUAAGAUUAAAUUACCUUAGGGAUAACAGCGUAAUUUUUUUUUUUAGUUCAAAUAAAAAUUAAAGUUUGCGACCUCGAUGUUGGAUUAAGAUAAAAUUUAAAUGCAAAAGUUUAAAAUUUUGAUCUGUUCGAUCAUUAAAAUCUUACA